AAUCUAAAAAUCCUAAAAAUCUACAGUGUCUCCAUCAUGUAGUACAAAAGAAAAAAAUAAAAGGGGAGCCCGCGGAACGAAAAUCCCGGUCCCCUCCGCUAAUCCGGCGGGCAGCACGCCUUCCCACUCCAAGUCGCGCAUACCUAUCGGCGGGGAGCGUCGCAUUCGGCCGCCGCCGCCGCCUCCCCGCACGCUCCGGAGCCGCCCAAGCCCCCCGGCUUCGCCCGCGUAGGCAGCGGAUUCCCACGGCACUCUCGCUAACUUGCGGGGAACAAGCAAAGAAUUGCCAAGUCCCACCUAGCCGCUGUCAGCAACUUUUGGAAUUAAGUCCCAAUUAUUUUGGUGAAAAUACGGUAAUGCACAGAUAAGGACAUGAAGCCAGGCAGCUGAGAAACACCUUUCCUCGCAUGUUUAUACAGUCACGUUUUUCCUGUUGCACACAAAAGGGAUACCCGGCACCAGCCACGAGAACCGCCGCACUCACCUCCCGGCUUCUUUCUUCCUCUCCUUCAAAGGUGGCGGUGGAAUCAGUCAGCGAGAGUCACCCAGCAUAGAAAGGGCUUCUCCGGCUCCCUCUCCCCGGCGCUGACGUGACCGGCGCCGCGAUCGCUGCCGCAGCCCCGGAGCUGGUUCUCGCCCCUCCGCGAGGCGCAUCGGCACUUGCCAACAAUGAGCUGUGUUCCUUACACGGCUUUGGCCGCGGCUAAUAUAGGAUUUCAGAAGGGAGGAGCAAAACCCUUACAGGCAACCAGAACCGUCUACAGGCACAUAGAGAGGACACUCCUCCCGGCCCAAGGAAUUGUGAAUAUGAGACCAAGACGGCCAUCAUGUAGGCUGAGAUGGGGUUUCUGCACCUCCACGUGCUUUGCAAGGAUGUACUACAGUGCAGGAGGGCCUCCCUGGGAGGGCACAGCUUUCAGGUGCUGGAAGCUGCCAGCUUGCCGAAACCUCCAACCGAUUGAAUUGACACAACUUAGAUCCAGCAACUGUCAGUACUUGGGACUGGAUUUUCAGGUGAUCACAUCUUUAGAGCACAACAGUCCACUUGAGACACUGAUCAGUAGAAACUAAAUCAGAAGCUUUGCUCUGCUUGCACACCAAAACCACUUUGGCAGCUGGUGAGGGUCCAAGCCUGUAAUGCAGCACUUGAACAACUUGGAAAUGCCUGGGGCAAGACACGUUCAGUUCAGGGGAUCGGACUAAAUCUGAAUUUUCCCCAAACUGCUUGAAUUGGAAAUAAAGGGGCCUCAAUACCAAGACUUUCGAUGGAC
ensembl:lncRNA